rnacentral:rRNA from 1 species
GAUGAACGCUAGCGGGAGGCCUAACACAUGCAAGCCGAGCGGUAUUGUUUCUUCGGAAAUGCGAGAGCGGCGUACGGGUGCGUAACACGUGUGCAACCUGCCUUUAUCUGGGGGAUAGCCUUUCGAAAGGAAGAUUAAUACUCCAUAAUAUAUUGAACGGCAUCGUUUAAUAUUGAAAGCUCCGGCGGAUAGAGAUGGGCACGCGCAAGAUUAGCUAGUUGGUGAGGUAACGGCUCACCAAGGCGAUGAUCUUUAGGGGGCCUGAGAGGGUGAUCCCCCACACUGGUACUGAGACACGGACCAGACUCCUACGGGAGGCAGCAGUGAGGAAGAUUGGUCAAUGGGUGCAAGCCUGGACCAGCCAUCCCGCGUGAAGGACGACUGCCCUAUGGGUUGUAAACUUCUUUUGUAUAGGGAUAAACCUACCCUCGAGAGGGUAGCUGAAGGUACUAUACGAAUAAGCACCGGCUAACUCCGUG